GAUGAACGCUGGCGGCGUGCCUAAUACAUGCAAGUCGAGCGAACGGACGAGAAGCUUGCUUCUCUGAUGUUAGCGGCGGACGGGUGAGUAACACGUGGAUAACCUACCUAUAAGACUGGGAUAACUUCGGGAAACCGGAGCUAAUACCGGAUGAUAUUUUGAACCGCACGGUUCAAAAGUGAAAGACGGUCUUGCUGUCACUUAUAGAUGGAUCCGCGCUGCAUUAGCUAGUUGGUAAGGUAACGGCUUACCAAGGCAACGAUGCAUAGCCGACCUGAGAGGGUGAUCGGCCACACUGGAACUGAGACACGGUCCAGACUCCUACGGGAGGCAGCAGUAGGGAAUCUUCCGCAAUGGGCGAAAGCCUGACGGAGCAACGCCGCGUGAGUGAUGAAGGUCUUCGGAUCGUAAAACUCUGUUAUUAGGGAAGAACAUAUGUGUAAGUAACUGUGCACAUCCUGACGGUACCUAAUCAGAAAGCCACGGCUAACUACGUG
rnacentral:rRNA from 1 species